UUCACUGCCUUUCCUUGCAAGGAACAGAGGGAGAGCUUGUUCCAGCAGACGGGCCCCAUCCGCUCCUCCCGUCCGAGGGCUGGGAAGAAGGGAUGGAGGCGAACGAACUCUCCCACCCCUCCGGGGCCCCGCGGACGCGCUGCUUCCCAGAAAAUACGGUAAAAAGCCUUCAGCCUAAAAAUAUGCCCUAAACCUUGACGACGACCUAUUUUCCCUUCUGUUGUGCAAAGCUUCUUUCCUAGAAAGCGGCUUUGCAAUUCUCGGUCCAACCAGCCGAGCUCUCCUCAGCAUGUGAGCAGGGAAUCCAGCUCCAAAUGGCUGGCAGGUUUAGCUGAGCUCCAGCACACCCCGAACCCACACGCAGAUGAGCUGGGAGACGUGGUCGGAUGCUACCUGAGGCUGUCCUGUGAGACUGCCUGCUCCGAGGGAGCAGAUGAGCAGCAGUCAGCCUUCGGACCCAGUGCUCACAACUCACUUUUCCUUAUUUCUCAUUCAUCCGUUUGCUUCUGCUGCAGCAGACAGCAGAGCGAGGAGAAAGCUUUUCUUUCCUGCAAGGAUUUCUCCCCUCUUUCUGCUCUCACUGUUCCUGAGCACAGAAAAUACCUGAUUGUCUUUUUUUUUCUUUUAAUUUCCCAUUUUGAAAAAAAGGGAUUAUUUCCUAAAUAAUUCUCCCCACAAUAAUUCCCAGUUUUCAGGGUGACUGCUCCUUUGGCAGAGGGAAAACAAGAAAGAAGAGGAACAAAUGUAACAAGAAACAGUGGUAACAAGAGAAACUACUGUUCAAAUUGGCUUCUGCAGAGCACAGUUUGCACCCAGAGCAGCACCGUGCUUUGCUCAUGGCUCCCAUCCUCUUCUCAGCUGCCCCUUUGCCCAAGGGCUCUUUAUCCUUGCUGCUUCCCAGUGCCAGAGUCGUGCUUGGGUUGACAGCAGCACAGGUGCUGUCUCUUUCUCUGCUCACUUAAGUUUUCCACUAUUUAUUUUCUUCUCCAUGCCUAACCUACCACCCAGGGUUUUUUUUAAGUUAACUCAAACUCAGUGCUGAUUUAUUUUAAGGUGCCAGGCUGUAACCUGAAGCCAGAGACAUAAAAUUAGCCUUGCAAGCUCCAGUUAGCCAGCUGGGAGCACAGGUUAGGGAUUCAUCCGACAGCAGCAAUGGUUUGGGUUGAAGAUUACUGCUUGCUCCCUCCUGCAGCUUGGCUUUGUAGCCAACCCUGCUCUUGUCCAGAUGGAUGAACUGCUCUGUGUGGAAGCAAAACACACGGCGUGAAGUCUGAUGUACCAGGGACAGGGGCUGUUAAUGAAGCAACUCAUGAACCUUCCAACACAUACACAUGCACACACAUGCUUUGUCCAAACAGCUGAAGUCACCAAACUUACCUUUACUACCAGGGCCUCCCAGCAUUGUGGUUGUGAUGUCCACGCUGGAGCAUGGCUGCUAUAUGCAUCUGACCUGCAGAGAUGCUGGAGGAGAUCCGGGUCACCCAAAUGCCAGAGAAAUGACACAUUUGUGGUGCAUCAGCACUUUCCUUGGCUGGAGAUAGCAAGGUACCUGUCGUGAACUGUGUGGAGCUGAGAAAGCAAAGGGAUGUAGAGGCCUAUUGAAACCCUCCUAAAAAAGUGUUACCAGUCUGAGAUUAUAAAGGGAGUGAGCUACUGGGAGCACUAACUGAUCUCCUUGCUGCUCAGGAAGCCAUAGGACUGGUGCUUAGAAGAACAGUUGAUUCUCCUAAGUGUCCUGACCUUCUCUAGAUGUACAACCAACAGUCCGUGUAUGGAUUCUCUUGUGUCCAUUGUCAUAGAUUGGCUUGGGUUGAAAGAAACCACAGAGACCAUCCAGUUCCAGCUCCCUGCAUGGGUAGGGAUACCUCCCAAUACCUUCAGCCCAGGGACUUGACCACCUCCAAGGAUAGGUAAUCACUUCCUGUGAAAUAACAUGAUUCCUAUUGUAACUACACAACUUAUGCCUGGAAAACCCAAGGAGUCCUUGACUGAAGCUUUCCUUUGAAUUUCAGUAGCCCUGCAAAUAAUUCUCCUAGGUUUGCAGAGGAGUUCUGAACGUGGCAUUAGUCUGAGUUGAUAUGAAAUAACGUGGUCUCUGGGAGAGUGUUA